rnacentral:lncRNA from 1 species
GGAACGUAUAUUCAAACGGAACAUGUUACGAGGAAACUAAGGAAUGCUAUAUGUAUACAGAACCUUUGUGGAAAGUUAACAGUAGUAUUUUUAUGCUUGGGUAUGAAACGACGUUAAAUUUACAGAUAUACCCAACUUUUUUGAAAGCAUCAGCUGUU